rfam:Myotis lucifugus cont2.5216, whole genome shotgun sequence.
UGUGUGGCUUCCCGUCCAUCUGCCCAUGUGGCUGAGGUCACCGGUGCGGGCACUGCGGCUCUUGUCUGCAUCUGGAGCACUGGGUG